rnacentral:rRNA from 1 species
GGUGAACGCUGGCGGCGUGCUUAAGACAUGCAAGUCGAACGUCAGUCUUCGGACUGUAGUGGCGCACGGGUGAGUAACGCGUAACUGACCUACCCCAAAGUCGCGGAUAACGAUUCGAAAGAAUCGCUAAUACGUGAUGUGCUGUCAGAUUGUGUUCUGCCAGUAAAGAUUGAUUGCUUUGGGAUGGGGUUGCGUUCCAUCAGCUAGUUGGUGGGGUAAAGGCCCACCAAGGCGACGACGGAUAGCCGGCCUGAGAGGGUGGCCGGCCACAGGGGCACUGAGACACGGGUCCCACUCCUACGGGAGGCAGCAGUUAGGAAUCUUCCACAAUGGGCGAAAGCCUGAUGGAGCGACGCCGCGUGAGGGAUGAAGGUCUUCGGAUCGUAAACCUCUGAAUCAGGGACGAAAGACACUUCGGUGGGAUGACGGUACCUGAGUAAUAGCACCGGCUAACUCCGUGCCAGCCGCCGCAGUAAAAC